rnacentral:snRNA from 1 species
UUUCAAAAUUAUAAAUCAUAUCU